rnacentral:rRNA from 2 species
AAAUUGAAGAGUUUGAUCAUGGCUCAGAUUGAACGCUGGCGGCAGGCCUAACACAUGCAAGUCGAACGGUAGCACAGAGAGCUUGCUCUCGGGUGACGAGUGGCGGACGGGUGAGUAAUGUCUGGGAAACUGCCUGAUGGAGGGGGAUAACUACUGG